UACGAAGGGGGCUAGCGUUGCUCGGAAUCACUGGGCGUAAAGCGCACGUAGGCGGCUUUUUAAGUCAGGGGUGAAAGCCCAGAGCUCAACUCUGGAAUUGCCUUUGAGACUGAGUGGCUUGAGUACGAGAGAGGUGAGUGGAAUUCCCAGUGUAGAGGUGAAAUUCGUAGAUAUUGGGAAGAACACCGGUGGCGAAGGCGGCUCACUGGCUCGUAACUGACGCUCAUGCACGACAGCGUGGGGAUCAAACAGG
rnacentral:rRNA from 1 species